GUAGGUGGCAAGCGUUGUCCGGAAUUAUUGGGCGUAAAGCGCGCGCAGGCGGUUCUUUAAGUCUGAUGUGAAAGCCCACGGCUCAACCGUGGAGGGUCAUUGGAAACUGGAGAACUUGAGUACAGAAGAGGAAAGCGGAAUUCCACGUGUAGCGGUGAAAUGCGUAGAGAUGUGGAGGAACACCAGUGGCGAAGGCGGCUUUCUGGUCUGUAACUGACGCUGAGGCGCGAAAGCGUGGGGAGCAAACAGGGAUUAGAUACCCUGGUAGUCCACGCCGUAAACGAUGAGUGCUAAGUGUCAGGGGGUUUCCGCCCCUUAGUGCUGCAGCUAACGCAUUAAGCACUCCGCCUGGGAGUACGGCCGCAAGGCUG
rnacentral:rRNA from 1 species